rnacentral:rRNA from 1 species
AGUGAACGCUGGCGGUAGGCCUAACACAUGCAAGUCGAACGGCAGCACAGUAAGAGCUUGCUCUUACGGGUGGCGAGUGGCGGACGGGUGAGGAAUACAUCGGAAUCUACUUUUUCGUGGGGGAUAACGUAGGGAAACUUACGCUAAUACCGCAUACGACCUACGGGUGAAAGCAGGGGAUCUUCGGACCUUGCGCGAUUGAAUGAGCCGAUGUCGGAUUAGCUAGUUGGCGGGGUAAAGGCCCACCGAGGCGACGAUCCGUAGCUGGUCUGAGAGGAUGAUCAGCCACACUGGAACUGAGACGCGGUCCAGACUCCGACGGGAGGCAGCAGUGGGGAAUAGUGGACAAUGGGCGCAAGCCUGAUCCAGCCAUACCGCGUGGGUGAAGAAGGCCUUCGGGUUGUAAAGCCCUUUUGUUGGGAAAGAAAAGCAGCAGGUUAAUACCCCGCUGUUCUGACGGUACCCAAAGAAUAAGCACCGGCUAACUUCGU